rnacentral:rRNA from 1 species
ACGGGUGAGUAACGCGUGGGAAUCUACCCAUCUCUACGGAAUAACGCAUGGAAACGUGUGCUAAUACCGUAUACGCCCUUCGGGAGAAAGAUUUAUCGGAGAUGGAUGAGCCCGCGUUGGAUUAGCUAGUUGGUGGGGUAAAGGCCUACCAAGGCGACGAUCCAUAGCUGGUCUGAGAGGAUGAUCAGCCACACUGGGACUGAGACACGGCCCAGACUCCUACGGGAGGCAGCAGUGGGGAAUAUUGGACAAUGGGCGCAAGCCUGAUCCAGCCAUGCCGCGUGAGUGAUGAAGGCCCUAGGGUUGUAAAGCUCUUUCACCGGUGAAGAUAAUGACGGUAACCGGAGAAGAAGCCCCGGCUAACUUCGUGCCAGCAGCCGCGGUAAUACGAAGGGGGCUAGCGUUGUUCGGAUUUACUGGGCGUAAAGCGCACGUAGGCGGACUAUUAAGUCAGGGGUGAAAUCCCGGGGCUCAACCCCGGAACUGCCUUUGAUACUGGUAGUCUUGAGUUCGAGAGAGGUGAGUGGAAUUCCGAGUGUAGAGGUGAAAUUCGUAGA